AGCCGUAUGGCUCAGUGGAAGAGCAGGUGCAAUAUAUGGGGAGGCUUGAGUCUUCUACCCAUUGUCCCCGGUUCGAUUCCAGACUUGGGCCA